rnacentral:lncRNA from 1 species
UGGGUUAGGUUAACCUUACACUGUAGUUUCGAACGUAAAAGACUUGCUCUAUUUUGUCGAGAAAGAUGGAAAAUUUUGGUCUUCGAAGCACUCUCUGGAAGAAAUGGAAUCAUGCUUAUCAAUUUGCUGUCGGCUUUUCCAGCUCUAGUCGUAGCCAUUCUCUCUUGUGAACCUGCGUCCACGAUGCAAUUAUUUAUUUGUUAACAUUUUGCUUUUGUUUCUUGCCGGGAUAGUGCAUAGUUCUUUUCUUUUCUUUUCUUUUUUUGGUGUUUGGGGACCGAAUGUGUCCUAUUGUACUCUCGGUUUUUCUUGGCCGAAGUUCGAAGAUUAAUUUGUGGCUGUCGAAUGGCUAUCUGUACAUUGCCGUUGGAUAGGAAUAUCUGAAGUUACUCUAGAAAUUGGUGCCAGCAGCGGAUGCUUUUCAUCAGCAAUGUCCAAGUUCGUCUUCUUUUCGGGUUAAACUGGUCUCUGUGCUCCUCAGUAAUUCCAUAACAGUGAUGCAUUUUCAGUCUUGACCGAAGAGAAAAACAUGUUAUGGGUUGUGGAUAUGGCAUGCUCUAACUAUUUCUUCUCUGUUAGUACAGGGUUCGCCUUCUGGUCUUUUAUAUGCUUCAAUCAGGAAUGGAUAUGAUGGUCGAGAUGCCGAAGCUCGGGAUUGUUACGCAUUUAUUGAGAGAAUGUUUUUUUAAAGGUUGUGCGAUUGGUUUGUCGAGUAUGAAAGCUUUCGUUGGUCUUUUCUUUUUGGCAAUUUGAACAUGUAAUACGAGGACAUUCUCGUAUCCCAGAACCCUACUCUUCACUCUUCUAGUUUACGAUAGAUCACCAAAUCGAUGAGUGGAUUUGGAUUAGGCCCAAUAUGGUCAAAAAAUAUCUCGAUUUUCUGCCGAAUGAUGGAAUUCGAGAAAUGAGAGUUCAUGUAAGUGUGAAGGGACUAUUUGGCCAUGUGAAGUGUAAGUUGCUCCGACGAUGGAGUGGAGCUUCUACUUUUAUAAGAUAUUGCUUGUCGCGUUCGGUCCAUAAUCGAUUAAAUGGUUCGGAGCGUUCGUGCAAGAAGGGAGAGGAG